rnacentral:rRNA from 1 species
UACGAAGGGUGCAAGCGUUACUCGGAUUCAUUGGGCGUAAAGGGUGCGUAGGCGGCGAGGUAAGUCGGAUGUGAAAUCCCGGGGCUCAACCCCGGAACUGCAUUCGAUACUGCUUUGCUUGAGUACUGGAGAGGAGACUGGAAUUUACGGUGUAGCAGUGAAAUGCGUAGAUAUCGUAAGGAAGACCAGUGGCGAAGGCGAGUCUCUGGACAGUUACUGACGCUGAGGCACGAAGGCCAGGGGAGCAAACGGG